rnacentral:rRNA from 1 species
GAGUAACACGUGGGUAACCUGCCUUCCUCCAAUAGAAAAUAACUCCGGGAAACCGGGGCUAAUACCGGAUAACUCAUUUCCUCGCAUGAGGAAAUGUUCCCAGGUGGCUUUUACCAACCACUUACAAAUGGACCCGCGGCCCUUUACCUAGUGGGUGAGGUACCGGCCCACCAAGGCACCAAUGCGUACCCAACCUGAAAGGGUGAUCGGCCACC